rnacentral:tRNA from 1 species
AGCUCAGUUGGUAGAGUGCUUGCCUCACAUGCACAAGGCCCUGGGUUCAAACCCCAG